UUGACUGAGCGGCGGACGGGUGAGUAACGCGUGGGCAACCUGCCUUACACAGGGGGAUAACAGUUAGAAAUGACUGCUAAUACCGCAUAAGACCGCAGUACCGCACGGUACAGCGGUAAAAACUCCGGUGGUGUAAGAUGGGCCCGCGUCUGAUUAGGUAGUUGGCGGGGUAACGGCCCACCAAGCCGACGAUCAGUAGCCGACCUGAGAGGGUGACCGGCCACAUUGGGACUGAGACACGGCCCAGACUCCUACGGAAGGCAGCAG
rnacentral:rRNA from 1 species